AAGAUUAGUCUUUCAGUGCUCAUUUCUAUAGUUGUUGAAUUAAAAAAUGUGUUUGUAAAGUGUUUGGUCUCACUAACUCAACGAUGAGUCACAAUAGUCCUUUCGGAGCGUGGAGCGGAUAGAGAGAGCAAUGAUUCAGUUCAUACGCUCUCCUUUCUUGAUGAUCUUUCUUUACUUCUUUAUGGAUCAUUGAGGAAGGGAAUAUAAUCACAGUGGA